AGGAUUAGAUACCCUGGUAGUCCACGCCGUAAACGAUGAGUGCUAAGUGUUAGGGGGUUUCCGCCCCUUAGUGCUGCAGCUAACGCAUUAAGCACUCCGCCUGGGGAGUACGGUCGCAAGACUGAAGCUCAAAGGAAUUGACGGGGGCCCGCACAAGCGGUGGAGCAUGUGGUUUAAUUCGAAGCAACGCGAAGAACCUUACCAGGUCUUGACAUCCUCUGACAAUCCUAGAGAUAGGACGUCCCCUUCGGGGGCAGAGUGACAGGUGGUGCAUGGUUGUCGUCAGCUCGUGUCGUGAGAUGUUGGGUUAAGUCCCGCA
rnacentral:rRNA from 1 species